UACGUAGGGACCGAGCGUUGUCCGGAAUCAUUGGGCGUAAAGAGCGUGUAGGCGGCUAUUUAAGUCCUGCGUGAAAUCCUGCGGCUCAACCGCAGACGGUCGUGGGAAACUGGAUGGCUAGAGUGCGGGAGAGGAGAGUGGAAUUCCCGGUGUAGCGGUGAAAUGCGCAGAUAUCGGGAAGAACACCCGUGGCGAAGGCGGCUCUCUGGAACGCAACUGACGCUGAGACGCGAAAGCGUGGGGAGCAAAAAGG
rnacentral:rRNA from 1 species